rnacentral:rRNA from 1 species
UACGUAGGGUGCGAGCGUUGUCCGGAAUUAUUGGGCGUAAAGAGCUCGUAGGCGGCCUGUUACGUCUGCUGUGAAAGCCCGGGGCUUAACCCCGGGUCUGCAGUCGAUACGGGCAGGCUAGAGUGUGGUAGGGGAGAUCGGAAUUCCUGGUGUAGCGGUGAAAUGCGCAGAUAUCAGGAGGAACACCGGUGGCGAAGGCGGAUCUCUGGGCCAUUACUGACGCUGAGGAGCGAAAGCGUGGGGAGCGAACAGG